UAUUUACUUUGCUCUUAUUUCCCUGACAAGCUGGGAUACUGUGCUUUUCGUAAGUUUCUUUGUCGUAAGUUCAGUAUUUGCGUUGAUUGUAACAACUUCUUCCUCGACUGUCAUCCUGUUCUCAUUUAGCAUUUGCCGAAAGCUUUCACUUUUUCACAUUCACAAAGUAAAUUAAUACCAAGUUCACAGCUAUUAGUCCUUUGUUAAAUGUUUUCUUUGAGGUCAGGGCGAAAGUAGCGCUUUAAUCGCUCCAGUUUCUGAUGGAUUCAUUGAAACAUCAGCGAACAAAAGACUCUUAAACAGCGACGAAAAGGCAAAUAAUCCUUCUGCAGGGUCACCGGAUACGCCAUAACCUACAUAAAUGGACGAUCAACUAAACGUAGUUCCAACAAGCUUUGUUUUACUGCCACCUCAAUGGCGUCUACUUCUUCGUUAAAGUUAUUUAUCACCUAUCUUUUGCUCUUUAACAUUUUCUCGGAUGGAUUAGCCUUUUUAAAUGACGGAAACGAUGUAGAUACUUACGAAGCAGCAGAUAUAACCACGACUGAGUAUCCAGAUGUAGACAUGCACGAAGGUGAAAUGAUCAAACAAGUCCAUAAUCCUUUAUUCUCCGCGCCCGAGACAUUCAGCAAGAAAGGAAACGUUGGAAUUAUUCAGCCUCCUUGCGAGAGAUUCGGCUGCGGUAAACGAGAAAUCUAUGCUCAUAAAAAGGCGUUUCCUAAAGGUUUCUUUACAUCUAAGAUUCGUCAACUGCAACUGAAAAGAGCACAGACAUGGGUUGGUCCUCCAUCAUGUGGUAGAUAUGGUUGUGGAAAGAGAAAGUGAAGGCUACCAAACGAUUUCAAGUUUAUCAGUGUUACUGAGAAGGUUCCAGAAGUUAAAUGCCAACAAGAGAUAGAAGAAAGUUCAUAGCAAAAAGAAAAGCAAGUAAAUGGAAAGUUAGAAAAAUUAAGGAAACGGAUAAAUAAUGUAUUACUUAGAUAAAUAAAAACGCGGCAUUAA